UCCAGGAGACAGAGGGGAGCUUUGUGCGCCGGCCUCGCAGCAUCUCCGGCUGCGCGAGGCCGGCCCGGGGCCAUGCGGGGGCCGCUGCUCUCCACGCUUCUCCUGGCCUCGCUGUGGCAGUUCUGCUGCAGGGCCCAGGGCGCUGGGCUCUCAGACACAGCAGGCGAAGGAAGUCCUGGAGAGGUGGCAGAAGGGCACCAUCGUAAGCAGUUUUGCCACUGGCCCUGUCAGUGCCCUGGUCGGAAGCCCAGCUGCCCUCCUGGAGUGAGCCUGGUGAGAGAUGGCUGCGGAUGCUGCAAAAUCUGUGCCAGGCAGCCAGGGGACACCUGCAACGAAGCUGACCUCUGUGACCCCCACAAAGGGCUGUACUGUGACUACUCAGCAGACAGGCCUAGGUACGAGACCGGAGUGUGUGCACAUCUCAUUGCUGUAGGGUGUGAGUUCAACGGGGUGCAUUAUCAAAAUGGCCAGGCGUUUCAGCCCAGUCCCCUGUUCAGCUGCCUGUGUGUCGGCGGGGCCAUUGGAUGCACACCUCUGUUCAUACCAAAGCUGGCCAACAGGCACUGCUCUGGGGCUAAAGGUGGAGAGAAGACUGAUCAGUCAAAAUGUGGCCUGGGGUCGUCACAGAAACAGCUCUCAACAAGCUACAAAACAAUGCCAGAUGCGCCAAGCUUUUACCCUGCUUCCUGCCCUGAUGUCUUUAAACUGCUGCCUGCCUUCCAGCAUAUAGGAAUCUCCCACUGAUUUGGAAAAGAAAAUGUCUUGUGCAAGCAACGAAGUGGACCCCUUGCUCCAGAACAUGUGGGAUGGGAAUAUCUAACAGAGUGACCAAUGAGAACACCAACUGUGAAAUGAGAAAAGAGAAAAGACUGUGUUACAUUCAGCCUUGUGACAGUGAUAUCUCAAAGAUAGCAAAGAUUCCCAAAGGAAAAACGUGCCAACCUACUUUCCAACCUGUCAAAGCUGAAAAAUUUGUCUUUUCUGGAUGCUCAAGCACUCAGAGUUAUAGACCCACUUUCUGUGGAAUAUGCUUGGAUAAGAGAUGCUGUGUGCCUAAUAAGUCUAAAAUGAUUACCAUUCAAUUUGACUGCCCCAAUGAAGGGUCAUUUAAAUGGAAGAUGCUGUGGAUUACAUCUUGUGUGUGUCAGAGAAACUGCAGAGAUCCAGGGGAUAUAUUUUCUGAGCUCAAGAUUCUAUAAAAUGAAGCACAAGGAGGAAAAGUUAAGGUUAAUCAUGUUAUUACAUCAAAAUUUAAAAUGGUUUUAAGAGG